rnacentral:rRNA from 1 species
GUAGGUGGCGAGCGUUGUCCGGAAUUAUUGGGCGUAAAGCGCGCGCAGGUGGGUUCUUUAAGUCUGAUGUGAAAGCCCCCGGGCUCAACCGGGGAGGGUCAUUGGAAACUGGGGAACUUGAGUGCAGGAGAGGAAAGUGGAAUUCCACGUGUAGCGGUGAAAUGCGUAGAUAUGUGGAGGAACACCAGUGGCGAAGGCGACUUUCUGGCCUGUAACUGACACUGAGGCGCGAAAGCGUGGGGAGCAAACAGGAUUAGAUACCCUGGUAGUCCACGCCGUAAACGAUGAGUGCUAAGUGUUGGGGGGUUUCCGCCCCUCAGUGCUGCAGCUAACGCAUUAAGCACUCCGCCUGGGGAGUACGGUCGCAAGACUG